rnacentral:rRNA from 1 species
CAGUCGCCGCGGUAAUACGUAGGGUGCGAGCGUUAAUCGGAAUUACUGGGCGUAAAGCGUGCGCAGGCGGUUCGUUAAGACAGAUGUGAAAUCCCCGGGCUUAACCUGGGAACUGCAUUUGUGACUGGCGAGCUAGAGUAUGGCAGAGGGGGGUAGAAUUCCACGUGUAGCAGUGAAAUGCGUAGAGAUGUGGAGGAAUACCAAUGGCGAAGGCAGCCCCCUGGGCCAAUACUGACGCUCAUGCACGAAAGCGUGGGGAGCAAACAGGAUUAGAUACCCGCGUAGUCCCUGUCUCUUAUAC